AUUUUAAUUUUCCUUUUAAUUAUAUAUAGAAAUUUGUCUAUAUUUCUAUCCGACUUGAUUUUUGGGCAUGUACUUAGCUUUCUCAAAUUUAAGAUGCUUUUUAUUUUAAACAACACCUCAAAAACCAACUUAACAAUAUUAUUAUUAUUCGCAAAUCAAUGACACCUAAAAAUUUGACCGACUGUACUAAAUUUGCUUUUCUUUUAUUAUUUUAUUUUUAUCUUUAGGAAUGUUAUGUGGUGUGGUCAGUGGUCUAUAUAUUAAAAUAUAUCUUCUUUAAUAAUAAAGAUUAGUCUCUUUAAUUUUCUCAGUGGAAGUUAUGGGGGUGUUUAGUCUUGCUUUGUGUAAGUUUUGUCCAUAAGUUUGGCUUUUGCUCUUCUUUUGGGUUCCUAAUUACCAUUACUGUUUCAGUUAUUUUUGGUUUCUAAUGGUUUUUGGCUGGUUUUUUUCUUCAUUUUUUUUUUCUGUCAAUUCGCUCUUUUGCAUUUCUCUGUCUUCUCGGUGCUAAUGGCGGAGGAGUUGGUUCAGCAUUGGUAGAAUUUCAAGUUGACAGAGGAUGAGUUUGCAGACCUUGAUGUUGUUGAUAUUCUCGACGCUACUGUGGCAUCUGCUUCUGAUUGUUGGGUUGUGUGUAAGCUCCAACGCUUUCGUCCUCCAAAUUGGGAUGCGUUCAUUUCUGUGUUCCAUCCGGUUUGGAAGUUAUCUGAGUCUACACAGUUUCAGCGCUGGACGAGAAUAUCAUGCUCAUUAAAUUUGGUUUGCUGCGAGAUAGAAAUAGUGUCCUGGCUAGAGCUCUUUGGUCUUUUGAAAAACAUCUUUUGCUGUUUCAGGAGUAUGAUGGUAAUCUACGCUCCUUGGAUUAUCUAUUUACUGAGUUUGAUUCUAGUUUAGCGAAGUGGAGUUAGGGGUGACCUAUGCACUUUCGUGUGACUCUUUCAGUCUCUAAGCUUUUGACUCGAUCCAUAUCCUUUCGUGGUGCCAAUGGAAGACCAUUACAAGGUCUUCUAAAGUACGAACAAUUAUCUAUUUUCUCUAUGUUUGUGGGCUCCUGGGACAUACUAAGUUUGACCAUGAGUGCCCUAUUUCUACUGAUGUGCUCAGGAUGAUCAUCGAUUAUAUGGUGACAUGAUUAUUAUUUGAUAUCUUUUCGAUAUUACAUUAUCGAUGAAAAGUAAAUGUGAUUAAAGGUUGUUUAUUUUGUGAUAAA